rnacentral:rRNA from 1 species
UAAAGCACUUUCAGUGGGGGAGGAAGGCCUCGAUGUUAAUAGUAUCGAGGAUUGACGUUACCUACAGAAGAAGCACCGGCUAACUCUGUGC